CUGUUUCAGGGCUUCUCUGGCAGACAUGAGCGUGAGCCUUCGACACCCUGUUCGACCACGCUCCAGAUAAACUCAACGUCGUCAAGAAGACGUUGAUCACCUUGUGAACAACACCUGAACAAG